rnacentral:rRNA from 1 species
GACAGAGGGUGCGAACGUUGCUCGGAAUCACUGGGCGUAAAGCGCGUGUAGGCGGUGCCGCACGUCGGAUGUGAAAGCCCGGGGCUCAACCCCGGAAGCGCAUCUGAAACGACGGCGCUGGAGGGUGAGAGAGGCGAGUGGAAUUCCCGGUGUAGAGGUGAAAUUCGUAGAUAUCGGGAGGAACACCAGUGGCGUAGGCGACUCGCUGGCUCACUACUGACGCUGAGACGCGAAAGCGUGGGGAGCAAACAGG